UCGUUAUUUCCUGGAUCUCAGAGAUAGAGAGAAGAAAGGCGUGAAGUAAAGUGAAGAGGGAAUGCGGGCGGCGUCGUGCCCGGCAUCCUGCUGCGCGAGCUGCACCUGCGGCCUCUGCACCUCCGUCGCGUCCUCCAUGUCCCGCCGCUCCGCCCGCCUCGCCUGCUGGGGCCUCUUCGCCCUCUCCCUCAUCCUCGCCUGGAUCCUCCGCGAGGAAGCCGCCCCCCUCCUCGAAAAUAUCCCCUGAUUAUCAUCCUUUGAACUGAAGCCACACAGCUGUGUCUGAUUUGCUACUAAGCGGCAGAAUUUUGUUGAUAUUUCUAUUCUCCUUGUCUAUCUAUAUCUUGAACAUCUCAUCAAAUAAGCAUCUUUGUAUCCUAAUUUAGGAUUUUGAUUAUAAUAAUAUUUUUCAUAUCUUGUAAUA